CCUGUCUUGCUGUCGUUCUUCGUGUCUCUUGUCCCAUACCAUUCCUCCCUCACAGGACUCGGAGCCUCUGUUGAACGUCCCGCGGGCCGGGACAAGGUGGCCUCCAUAGACCCUCCUCUUCUGGCAGCCUCUCAUUUCACUGGGCUCAUCUCUCUGUAGCCAUGUCUUUCCUGAAGAUAACUGAAAGAACGAGAUCACUUCCUGGUGAAGGAUUCUGAGAAGCUCCAUUUCUGUACUGAAUCAGUGCUUGAGCAGGAUUGGGAGGCUACAGUUCUGAGACUUGCUCACUCCUAGACUGGACUGCUAGAGUACACCUCUGCCUUCUCUUUCUCCCAAGUCAGAAUGCCUGGAAGGACCUUCUUAGUAACAUGGGUUAUUUCUAGUCAUCAAGAUUAUCCUGUUCCUGAAAAAAGAAGCACUCUUUAAAGUUGUCUGGGGCCCUAUUACACAGGCCUGGGGACCUUAUGAGGAGAGGAAAUUCAGAUGCAGCUGGAGGAGCCUGAAGCAGGAAGUCAGAGAAAACCUGAAGAGCAGAUACAAGGGGAGAGAGAUCUCCAUGGGAUGAAGGGCAGGGAUGUCAGCCAAGAAUCCCCAAGGUUUGCAGCAAGCCAGCGCCAGAACACUACGGAUUCUGGGGAGGAAGCAUGGUCUUGCCGAUGCCUUGAUUUGGAACUUCUGGCUUUGGAAACGAUGAGCUAAUAAAUUCUUGUUUUG